rnacentral:lncRNA from 1 species
AUUUAAUUGCUGGUUGAGUUCAUGACAACUGCCUUAAGGAAGAAACCACAUCCAUCUGGGAAGUGGGGUAUUAAUCAAUAACCCUGCAUGAAAUCCUCAAUUUCCUCAUUUGUGAGGGUCCCAUGGACAUGCUGUCUCUUGGUACUAGUGCUGCCUGAGAAGGUGCUUUGCUUCACCACUGCUUUUCUCUGGACUCCACCUUCCUGCCAAUGGGAACUGGAUCUCAGGGACCAGUUUGGGUGUCAGCACAGGGAGAAUAGCAAUGCUUGGGGUGAAGCAGAGGGACUGCAGAGAGA